rnacentral:rRNA from 1 species
GACGAACGCUGGCGGCGUGCUUAACACAUGCAAGUCGAACGGAAAGGCCCUGCUUUUGUGGGGUGCUCGCGUGGCGAACGGGUGAGUAACACGUGAGUAACCUGCCCUUGACUUUGGGAUAACUUCAGGAAACUGGGGCUAAUACCGGAUAGGAGCUCCUGCUGCAUGGUGGGGGUUGGAAAGUUUCGGCGGUUGGGGAUGGACUCGCGGGUUAUCAGCUUGUUGGUGGGGUAGUGGCUUACCAAGGCUUUGACGGGUAGCCGGCCUGAGAGGGUGACCGGCCACAUUGGGACUGAGAUACGGCCCAGACUCCUACGGGAGGCAGCAGUGGGGAAUAUGGCACAAUGGGCGGAAGCCUGAUGCAGCAACGCCGCGUGCGGGAUGACGGCCUUCGGGUUGUAAACCGCUUUCGCCUGUGACGAAGCGUGAGUGACGGUAAUGGGUAAAGAAGCACCGGCUAACUACGUG